rnacentral:rRNA from 1 species
AGUGAAUAGAUACCCAGGUAGUCCCAGCUGUAAACGAUGUCCCUCUAGGUGUGACGGCUGCUACGAGCCGCCGUUGUGCCGAAGCGAAAGCGUUAAGAGGACCGCUUGGGGAGUACGGUCGCAAGACUGAAACUUAAAGGAAUUGACGGGGGAAUACCACAAGGGGUGAAGCCUGCGGUUUAAUUGGACUCAACGCCAGGAAACUUACCAGGGGCGAUAGCUGUAUGAGGGACAGGCUGACGACCUUUCCCGACUGGCUAAGAGGUAGUGCAUGGCCGUCGCCAGUUCGUGCCGUGAGGUGUCUUGUUAAGUCAAGCAACGAACGAAACCCGCGCUGCCAAUUGCAACCGAUAGCGUUGUGACGCUCCGGGCACAUUAGCGGGACCGCCACUGCUAAAGUGGAGGAAGGUGCGGGGCCACGGCAGGUCAGUAUGCUCCGAAUCCACCUGGGCCACACGCGGGCUGCAAAGGCCGGGUACAAUGCGUCGCUACCCCGAAAGGGUAUGCUAAUCGUAAAACCCGGGUCUCAGUUGGAAUCGGGGGCUGCAACUCGCCCCGU